GUAAAUAAAAAAAAAGUAAUUAAGUUAGUAAAAAAACUAUCACGGAAUUGAGGGUGGAAGUGGUCUGGGUGCAAUACAGGGAUCUGUUUAUUGGACUACCUCAACCUCACAUUGGACAAUGAAUGGACACGCAGCAGUGUUUUGGUUGUCUCCUGGAAAGACUGCUUAACAUGUCGUGCAUGGUCUAAUUUUUCUUGUCAUGGACUGUCUAUUCUAUUGUAUUUAUUUAUUUAUUUAUUUAUUUUUUUAAGUAUAAUUCUAUCCUUAUUAUCUUAUUUUAGUGCCCUCACUCUGAUAUUUAAUUAUCAACACAAUACAGUUGUGUAUUUUAAUUUUGCCUCUGUUUGUUUGCUGUAAAAAUUAAAACUCAAUAAAGUUUGAGUC